GCCCGGGUGGUCUAGUGGUAUGAUUCUCGCUUAGGGUGCGAGAGGUCCCGCGUUCGAUCCGCGGCUCGGGCC